GCCUGACAUAAAUUUUUAAAGACCUGAAUUACAUUUGCUUCUAUCUGCUGCCCAUUCUCCAGCCACACUCCAUUUCCAACCUUAAUAAUGAUCAACUAAUUCCUCUGUUUUCUUUGAACUGUUGUGGCAUGCAAAUAAUGGAGAUCUCUAAAACCAAACAAGUUCUUCCUUUUUCAUUAACUCAUCAAUUAUUUAGAUUAAUUCUACCUCUUGCUCUUUGGAUUCUGAAGUCGCAAUAGUACAUUGGAGUUGAGACAACCAACUCUUCAAUAGAGUCAUUUGUCAGCUUUCAUUACCGAAAGUAUGCUUGCUCCAACUCUGUAAUUAGUCUCUGCAUAACCUUCCCACAACUUGAAACAUUUGAGACUCUAUUAAGAAAAUGGGCACCAAAAGCUAUUUCAAGGGGAGGAAGGUUUUAUAAGGGGCACACUACAGCCAAACUGAUGUUGGAUAUUAACAGACAGAGAUCACUUGAGUAAGCCAAGUUUGUUGGACCACUUGUUUGCACUGGCUAGCCUCAAGCCAUGCACUUGGCUUCAAAAUGGAACUGCCUCUUUACCCUUUGAAAUGAAGAUUGUUGUCGGACCUGGCUCUGCACUCGUGCAUAAGUCCAAGUGAACGGUGAUCUCUUAAAUUUCAUGUCAAGGAGGUUGCAGUCAUGUGUUAAAUUUUGGAAGAGCUCCUAUGCCACUUCAUGAGUGAAGCAAAUGGGCACUUCUCAAAUGGACGAGCAGUUGAUCCAAUUCCUGCCCCAUUGAAAUUAGAAACUGCAAUGAACAAAUUCCAACACUGUUGAGCAAUCAAUAUCAACAUAAUGUACAGAACAUCACAAUUACAAUUCAUUGGGUAGGUUGGUAGAAUCACAAUUACCCGCUAAAUAAAUGCACUGUCAAUCAACUAGAAAAGAGGGAUGAACACCCAAAAGAACUCUCCUGCUAGAAUCCUAAAACAUAAUGCGUCAACAACCAAUUCUAAUUCAAGUGCCCAAGAAUGGUAAUCUCAACCACAAAAAGAAAAAAAAAAUCCUCUGUUAUGUGAUAGCUUCAAAUGAUAUAGCAAGUCAUCAUAUUUGAAUUAAUCUUUCACCAGCCUCGCCUCAAAACCACCUUCUGCUCGCUUUACUAGAUCGUAAGGCAUGUGGGUUCCUAGAAGUUUAUCCCAUAUAGAGAAGAAUGGCUGAGAAUAGUUGUACUUUGUGCCUUGGAGUUGAUGAUGGAUGUCAUGAUAGGCAGUAUUGUUCUGGAAAAAAAUGUGAAAGAUAUUGCCGGGUAACCAAAGCCCACAAUGAUCAUCGACAGUUUUAACCACAGCAAAGCAGAAGAAAAUCACUCCUGUCCGUGCAGUCAUUCCUGAAACUAGGAAAGAGAUGGCCCCACCUACAGUAUCAAGCAAGAGACCCUCCAGUGGGUGAUUAUAAAGGGCCCCAAUAGCACAAGGGACAACUAGCCUAUGAUGUUGAGAGUGGAUGUGGCGGUAGAGGAAUUUGUUCUGAUGCAUAUAGCGGUGCACAAAAUAUUGCCAUGUGUCCAUGACAAACAUAGCAAUUAUGAUCUGCACAAUUUGGAUGGUAAUGGAAGGUUGGAUUGUGAUCCCAGAUGCAUCAGCUGUUGAGGUCAACUACAGCAACAAAGCGGGAGAAUGAAAAGUUAUAUAGAUUGAUAAAAGAACAUCAACAGGUAACUGAAUUCAAAACUCUCUUAAGUCAAGAUCUUCACAAGACAAAUAACACUAUCAAGUAAUUGAUAUCCUUAUCAUCUAUAUCGUACCGACCUCUCAGAAACUUCAGAUACACUUCAUGUCAGACAAACAAAUUAACUACUUAACCUAUUCAAGAUCAAACAGGCUCAACGUUUCUCCAUCAUGAACUGUUUGAUGACAUUUAAGGAGCCGACUAAUUAGCAUUUCCUCAUUAGAAACUAAUCCACCAAAAAAGUAAAUGCAAGAGAAGUACAAUCUACAUGUCAUGUAACAGUCCAGGUAAUCGACUUAAUGUCUGAGAAUUUCAUUUCAAUAUCAGACCCCAUGGAAUAAAAUUACCUAACCAGCUAACACAAGGCUACAGUGUACAUGAAAGCAGUUCAGACAAGACACAUUCACAUGCAAGGUGACAAUAUAGGAUUUUAGUCAUAAAAUAUACCAAUACAAACAAUGGAAGAGAUAUUUGCCAGUAAAAUUUCUUCUUGCCAUCUUUUACCUAAAUAGAGGUGGUGGCCACUAGGCCGGGCAGGUUCAGUAAGGUCAUUUCAGGUUCGAGUCACUUCAUGUUUUAGGCGGGUUCAGGUUACCCAACAAGUUGAGCUUUGGGUAUCCAUUUCAGAUAAUUGAGGUUAAUUACGACAUUUUUAACAAAUUUAAAAUUAAAUUUAGUAUUUCAUGAUUUUUAAAUGUUUGGCUUAAGUGCAACUUAUUUAUUUAUUUAUUUCAUUCUAGAUUUAAAAUGAACUGUGUUUCACUCUGUUUUUUGGAUGGGUUCUAAUCAGACUUAUUAGGAUGGAUCAGAAUUUGCCAUAUCUAUGAGUGGUUUAUCAUUAAGCUCGGCUAUGCACAACUUCCCAAGCCAUAAAAAGAACAGUAAGUUAUAUAUAAGUUCACUAGCUUUGUAUUCCUUCUGAAAAAAAAUAUGGCAGCUAAUGACAGAGAAAGGUUUCCACUUUGGUAACAUUGAAUUGAAUAUCCGGGGUGUAAGGGUGUGCGGAUAGAAAUAGUUAGAGGUGCAUUCAUGAUGCCACAUGCAAAAAGAGAGCAAACAGAAGGUAGGCGAGGGGGAAGACUACAAAAGGACUUGAAAGUUCCCCCAAACCCCAACUUUUCCUUUUCUCUAAAAGAAAAUGGCCAAAGUAAAUUUCCAGAAUGUGCACAUACCAACAGUGGAAAAUGACAAUCAUGCACUACACCCUACACAAACUACCAAUGUUAUAUUCUGUUUAUCAUCUUCAAAUUAUCAGAAAAGCUAAAAGGGGGUCAUGCUCUAUGAUAUUUAGUGGCAAGCGGAUGAGAUACUAUCAAUAUGCUACUAGCUGAAUGUGAGUGUUAAGGAAGACAAACUGUGAAACAAGAAAAAAGAGAGGAAACAGAAGGUUAGAAUAGCAUCAGAAGGAAGAAUGAUAGAAUAAAAUAAGUUCUUUUGAGAAAGCAAGAAAACUACCAAGAGAAAAAGGUGAAGUAUUUAAAAUAGUGCUGCAAAGGGGCCAAUAGUUUCAUGAUAACUUUACCAUGGUUCAGACCUUUUAAAGCUGCAAGGAAUGCAAAGGAACCCAUUGGAUCACAUAAGAUUUUGUGGGUGAAGGUUAAAGUCAUCAAGAAGAAAAUUAAGGAUGCCAUUGGUGUUGAAAUUUGAAACGGUAAAUUGAAUGCUGGCAUAAUUAUCCAUUUAUUCUUUGGGAGGAUAUCUUACAAGAGUCCAAAGCAAACAAAAACAAAAAAUGAUAGAAAUGAACACAAGUGUGGUUUCUUGAGUGUAUAACAUAUAAUUUUUAUAUGGAGAAGUGCCCAACAAAUGAUAGGCUGAAAUCAAAAUUUCCAUUUACUGGCUUCAUGAAGAAACCAUAGAGAAGAUUGUCCCAAAAAUGUAAAACUUCAAAGGAAUGUCUCACAUAUCCAAGCUAAACGUAAUCAUAUAAUAUGAGCACUUACACAAAUUUCAACAGGACUACUUCAGAAGUCACUAAAAGUUUUACAUCUGCAUGUUAAGUUGCCAAUUUCCAUACUCCUAUUCUCAUGAGAAUCUCAACAGCAGCCACUCAAGUUUUCUUUUUCUUGGUAAACAAAAAUUUCUAAGCAAAAAAAAAAAUGCUGACUAUUAAUAAUCAAUGUGAGCUCUCUAAUGAAAUAAAAUUCUACCAUCCACAUUGACAUUGCAAAGCAAUCCCUCAUCUAAGCAUUGAGUUCUUCUAACAACUGGAAUAUUUCAUAACUAUUUUACAAAAUAAAAUAGUUCUUCCCAUUAAGAAUGGAAAUCCCAGGACUCACACAUAAGCAUGCAUCUUUAAACAAAAUCAAAACCCUUAUCAGCCAUUGCAAUGGAUAGAAAUAAUGUGUUUCAGAAUUCCAUUGUCUCAACCAGCAGCAAAUUCAUAUACAGACACAGGUCAGUAACCCAAAUCCAUGUUCAGAUUCACCUCAAACCCAUUCUUUUCAACCUCUUUUUAGUUGUACCUUAAAAGCUUUAUGCCAAAACAUACCUCAACAAUGAUGUAUCUAUGGUCCUUGCCAUUUUCUUAUUAGGUUAGUUAUUAGUUAAUACUCAUCUCCUAUUGUUUGUGACUCUCUUUGCUAUUAUAAACGGGAGAAAAAGACCUCCCCUUUGACCAAAAGUCAUUGAUACUCCAUAGAGAGAUUAUCAGCCAUUCUUAUUCCACAAAGAAAGUUCCUAGAUGGUACAGUUUGGCUAUGUUUCUAACCUGCAACAUUGUCCCAUAAAAAAGCCACUCUCUAAUUGCCAGCAUCUCAAAGCAAGAGACUAAACUAUUGCUAACUCAUGCAUAAUAGAAAAAAAUGUUUAAUUGACACUUAAGAAAUUAAGAAAACAUCACUCCUUUGUGCAUCAAUCCAUCCUCGUUUCCUCCCUCUUCUUCAACAUCAUCUUUUCUGCAGCUUGUAUUUCUUUAUAUAGAUAAUAGAUUUUAAGAUCUAUUAAGCCACUUCACUGUUUAUACUAGCAAAGGUCAUCAUUUCAUAACAUAUAACAUAGACAGAAAAUAUAAAUUACUCUAUCAGGUUCAAUUACUAACCCAAAAGAGAGCAUGAGCAACUAUCGCCUGAACUAGCUGUUGAAGCAAAACACCCUUGACCACCUUUGGAAGUGGCACCAAGUUCUUCUCUUCUUCCUCCUUUCUAGUGUGCAACCGGUAUUUGUCCAACGGCGGCAACAGCUGAUAAAACCCAGCAUACAACCAAUAAACCACAAUUGGGGCAAAAGUGCCCAUUGCUUCAUCACUCACAUAAACUUCCCAAAACACCAUAGCUGAUUCAAUUUACAAGGUGCUUUAUCACUUGUUUCUAUUCUAAAACUUUGAUUUCAGCUUCACAAGUCUCAAACUUCGAAGCCACAUUAAAGUUUAAAGACCUACAAGUGAACAAACACUCCAAAUAACAAAAAGCGAGAGAGAUCGCGAAUGGCAAUCAGAUCUACCAGAGGUAAAGCCCCAGCAGCGGUGGACUUGUGGCUCAAACCUUGGUGGACUUUUUGGUUUUUUAGAGAGAGGGAGUGCUCUCAUCUCGCUG
rnacentral:misc_RNA from 1 species